rnacentral:lncRNA from 1 species
AUGAAACGCCGCGCUGGCUGCAGCCCUGUGCGACUUCACAGCAUCACAGGCUCACAGGACCAAAGAGCAUGCGUCAGCCCUGUCUCUCCAACCCCCCCAUGCAGUGGAGAUCAAAACUUUGUCCUGUGGCACAUUGUCUUGCUCAUCAUCGCGCUCCAGUACAACACCUGCAAAACUGCAGAUGCUUAUUACUCCACCUCGAGCUCCAAGGUACCGACUCUCGCCGCAGCUGUUUCACAGUGGGCUGCGAACUGCUCCAGUGCAUGCUGAAACUAAUGAAUGUUGAUGUAAUGAAGCCAACGGAACCAAGUCGUCUGCACAACUGCUCUUUUUUUUAAGAAUGCAGCAACAACGGCUUGCAACCAACCAACAACUGCAGAUUCCACCUCUCUUUUCUUACUCACGUGCAGUAACCAGUGCGUUUCCUUCGCUCUGGGGACUGAAGGGCUCAUUAACCCUUCCUGCACACAUUUCUGUUUCAUUUUCACCUGCUUGCCAGCACUAAGCCCUUUUCAUCCAUAAAACACAUACUCUCAUCCACAGACAGCUACAUGUGCCCUCAGCCCUCCCCGACCCUCUGGGAGCCAACAGGGCGCAGCGCCGCCUCACCAAAGCCCGCUUGGCCGUGUGACAACAUGACCGAGGCCGGGCCUG